UACGUAGGGGGCAAGCGUUGUCCGGAUUUAUUGGGCGUAAAGAGCGUGUAGGCGGCCUGACAGGUCUGCUGUGAAAACUCGAGGCUCAACCUCGAGAUGUCGGCGGAAACCAUCUGGCUAGAGUCCGGAAGAGGAGAGUGGAAUUCCUGGUGUAGCGGUGAAAUGCGCAGAUAUCAGGAAGAACACCCGUGGCGAAGGCGGCUCUCUGGGACGGUACUGACGCUGAGACGCGAAAGCGUGGGGAGCGAACAGG
rnacentral:rRNA from 1 species